rnacentral:rRNA from 1 species
UACGUAGGUGGCAAGCGUUGUCCGGAUUUAUUGGGUUUAAAGGGUGCGCAGGCGGUUCUAUAAGUCAGUGGUGAAAUACGGCAGCUCAACUGUCGAGGUGCCAUUGAUACUGUAGAACUUGAGUACAGACGAGGUAGGCGGAAUUGACGGUGUAGCGGUGAAAUGCUUAGAUAUCGUCAAGAACACCGAUAGCGAAGGCAGCUUACUAGACUGUAACUGACGCUGAGGCACGAAAGUGUGGGGAUCAAACAGG